UACGUAGGGUGCAAGCGUUAAUCGGAAUUACUGGGCGUAAAGUGUGCGCAGGCGGCCGAGCAAGUCGAGUGUGAAAGCCCCGAGCUUAACUUGGGAACUGCGCUCGAAACUACUUGGCUAGAGUGUGGCAGAGGGAGGUGGAAUUCCACGUGUAGCGGUGAAAUGCGUAGAGAUGUGGAGGAACACCGAUGGCGAAGGCAGCCUCCUGGGCCAACACCGACGCUCAUGCACGAAAGCGUGGGGAGCAAACAGG
rnacentral:rRNA from 1 species